rnacentral:rRNA from 1 species
AGUGAACGCUGGCGGCGUGCCUAAUACAUGCAAGUCGAACGGAGUGGCGCACGGGUGAGUAAUGUAUAGCUAAUCUUCCCUACACUAGAGGACAACAGGUGGAAACGGCUGCUAAUACUCUAUAGUGUAGGAUGAGGGUGUAUGGUAUCAGCUAGUUGGUGAGGUAAUGGCGCACCAAGGCUAUGACGCAUAACAGGUCUGAGAGGAUGAGCAGUCACACUGGAACUGAGACACGGUCCAGGCUCCUACGGGAGGCAGCAGUAGGGAAUAUUGCUCAAUGGGGGAAACCCUGAAGGAGCUUCGGCGCGUAGAGGAUGACACUUUUCGAAGCAUAAACUCCUUUUGUUAGGGAAGCGGUACCUAACGAAUAAGCACCGGCUAACUCCGUGCCAGCAGCCGCGGUAAUAC